AACGAACGCUGGCGGCAUGCCUAACACAUGCAAGUCGAACGAGACCUUCGGGUCUAGUGGCGCACGGGUGCGUAACGCGUGGGAACCUGCCUUUAGGUUCGGAAUAACUCAGAGAAAUUUGAGCUAAUACCGGAUAAUGUCUUCGGACCAAAGAUUUAUCGCCUUUAGAUGGGCCCGCGUUGGAUUAGCUAGUUGGUGGGGUAAAGGCCUACCAAGGCGACGAUCCAUAGCUGGUCUGAGAGGAUGAUCAGCCACACUGGGACUGAGACACGGCCCAGACUCCUACGGGAGGCAGCAGUGGGGAAUAUUGGACAAUGGGCGAAAGCCUGAUCCAGCAAUGCCGCGUGAGUGAUGAAGGCCUUAGGGUUGUAAAGCUCUUUUACCCGAGAUGAUAAUGACAGUAUCGGGAGAAUAAGCUCCGGCUAACUCCGUGCCAGCAGCCGCCGUAAUAC
rnacentral:rRNA from 1 species